rnacentral:lncRNA from 1 species
CUCCUUCAAGCCCCCUCCCCUAGCCAAUGAGCAAUUCCACUGGGUUUUACAUAAAUCAUUGUUCAGAACCUAUUUCCAUAUUACUACUAUUUGCAAUAGAGUAUCAUUUAGAGUCAACAUCCCCAAUCAUAUUCCCAUCAAACCAUGCUUUUCUUCUGUGUUUCUACUCCCACAGUUCUUCCUCUGGAUGUGGAUAGUGUUCUUUCUCCAUAGUCCCUCAGAACUGUCCUGGAUCAUUGCAUUGCUGCUAGUGAAGAAGAGUUGAUUGUACCACAGUAUAUCAGUCUCUGUGUAUAAUGUUCUCCUGGUUCUGCUCUUUUCACUCUGCAUCAAUUCCUGGACAGGUUUACAUUUUGAUUGGAUGCAAGUUGCAUUUCUCCUUUAAUUCAUUUCCUUCACUAACUUCUUGAAAUUUCUGUAAGGCUGUCAUUAAAAUGUUUCCUCAUUUGCAGACUUUUUCAUAUUAUUCUAUGAACAUUUUGACUAGUCAAUAUUUCUUUGGGACUCUUGGGACUUUGGUUAUUGUAUCAUAAGGUGAUGAAUGAAAUUGUCACAUUGUCUUUGAAACAAGUAUGAAAGACUCAUCCAAAUAAAUUUUCACAAAAAAUUUUAUAUGAGGACUGGACUGUGAUUUCAUUGCUAAAGAAAAUUUGUGGGGGAUGAAACUACUCCUUCUACUUCUCUUAGCCUCCCAAACACUGAAGCAGCUCUGGCAAUUCACAAGGCUACCUCAUCCUCUGGGUGGUAGAUCUCUGCAAAGUAGACUGACAAGGCAAGUGAACUUAUCUACAGCAUUCAAAAUUUCUACAUUGGAUGUUGCCAGUGGUUCCACAUAUGGAUAGUGCAGUGAUUGCAGUUGACAACAUCUGUCUUCUUUGAGCUCUUUAUCAGGCCAGAAUUAACACAAGCAGCAGAGAGUUGGUCCAUGCUCGUUGCAUCUCAGUCUCAGAGGCUACCUUGAGCCCCAAUCAUCUUUGUAUAAAAAGUCAUGCACCAGCUGUCCCUCCAUUCAUA